CCUGGCGGCAGUAGCGCGGUGGUCCCACCUGACCCCAUGCCGAACUCAGAAGUGAAACGCCGUAGCGCCGAUGGUAGUGUGGGGUCUCCCCAUGCGAGAGUAG
rnacentral:rRNA from 3 species